GGAUGAACGCUGGCGGCGUGCUUAACACAUGCAAGUCGAACGAUGAUCCCAGCUUGCUGGGGGAUUAGUGGCGAACGGGUGAGUAACACGUGAGUAACCUGCCCUUGACUCUGGGAUAAGCCUGGGAAACUGGGUNUAAUACCGGAUACGACCAUCUGGCGCAUGUCAUGGUGGUGGAAAGCUUUUGUGGUUUUGGAUGGACUCGCGGCCUAUCAGCUUGUUGGUGGGGUAAUGGCCUACCAAGGCGACGACGGGUAGCCGGCCUGAGAGGGUGACCGGCCACACUGGGACUGAGACACGGCCCAGACUCCUACGGGAGGCAGCAGUGGGGAAUAUUGCACAAUGGGCGCAAGCCUGAUGCAGCGACGCCGCGUGAGGGAUGACGGCCUUCGGGUUGUAAACCUCUUUCAGUAGGGAAGAAGCGAAAGUGACG
rnacentral:rRNA from 1 species